rnacentral:rRNA from 1 species
ACAGGUGCUAAUACCGCAUAACAACUNUUGACCGCCUGGUCAAAGCUUAAAAGAUGGUUUCGGCUAUCACUUCGGGAUGGGCCUGCGGCGCAUUAGCUUGUUGGUGGGGUAACGGCCUACCAAGGCGAUGAUGCGUAGCCGAGUUGAGAGACUGAUCGGCCACAAUGGGACUGAGACACGGCCCAUACUCCUACGGGAGGCAGCAGUAGGGAAUCUUCCACAAUGGGCGCAAGCCUGAUGGAGCAACACCGCGUGAGUGAAGAAGGGUUUCGGCUCGUAAAGCUCUGUUGUUGAAGAAGAAUGUGUCAAGAUGAGUACUGUUCAUUGUUAUNGACGUAUUCCAACCUAGAAACUCACUGNUUAACCUACAG